GGAGUUGUGGCUCUGUGGUAGAGCGCUUGCCUAGCAUGCAUGAGGCACUGGGUUCAAUCCCUGGUGCCA
rnacentral:tRNA from 1 species